rnacentral:lncRNA from 1 species
GCAAGUUCUUGCUCUAGCUUUGAGCCAGCUGUAUAUCUGUUUUGAUGGUAGCCAGCAUCUCCUUAAUGCCGAAGAAUACAACAUUACCUUUAUAAAAAAAAAACAAAAAAAACUUCCAUUGUCAAGAUUUUGGGAGCUAUACAACAUCCAAUUGUUGUUUCAGUUAGAUUGCCUGUUUUUAUUAAUCACUAUAUAUAUAUACUAUACUCAUGUUGUCCUUACCAUUUUCCUUUAAACAAAUCACUUCGAGUUGGGAAUAUCUUCCUCUGGGAAAGAUGCCAUUGCUUCGCCAGCAUUAAAAAUUGCUUGUGAGCGAUAUAUGACAUAUUGUAAUAGCUAAAUGGCUAAAAGUACCAACGUUUAAUUUUUAAUUUUCUUUCAGUUAGGUUUUCCUUGAGUAAGGAGGUUGCGAUUUUCCAAGUUGUACAACUAUCUAUUUUGGCUUGCUUGAGAUAUAUGAAGCAUGACUUGCUGCAGAUGGAACAUACAACUUUAAUGGAACCCAAGGUACAUGAGUAAAAAAGUUGUUUAAUUUAACACACAAAAGAACAUGUUGCACAUUAUGGUUAUAGAUUAUAAGGAAAUAUAUUACCUUAUCAUUCUUAAGAUUUUGACAAAUGUCACACCCCUUUUUAACGUGCUCAAAAGAUGUAUAUUUUAAGUCCGAAAGGAUUUUAUUAUUUAAGUGACAAGAAAUGAAAAUUUAUUUCGGAAAAGGAUUAUUUAUUCAGAGUCGCCACUUGGCAUAAUCCGGUGUGUCAAGUCACCUUUGAAAAAUCCUUUUCGAAACCAUUUGACUCUUAAACUAGUUUGCAAACAGAGAUUCCGACUAAGGAAUUCUGUUGACCGAGGGGAAGGUGUUAGGCACCCCUCGAUCCCGUGGUUCAACCACGGUCGCUUGGGUAGAGUGUAUCAACUAUUUUGACAUUACGAAAUGUACAAACCACACAAAAGCACACAAAAUAAUCAAACAAUAACAGAACAAAAUAAAAAUGUAAAGUCCAGUCCAAUUAUUACAACCCGAAAUAAAAAUACUGAAAUAACCUACACUAGUCCUAAACCAUUCUUUACCCGAUGUCCUGGGCCUUGAUCACGAAUAUCCUUAGCAUAUAAAAUUCUUCGGGGCAUUCCCCGGUAAGUAAAUACAAAUUACCUCGGGGCAUUCCUCGGUUAAAUAAAUACACUUUCCAAAUGCGAUAAACAAGACAUUCAACAAAUAUUCCAAUCAUUCCAACACUACACCAAUCCUAAACUUGCCUACCCGAACCUAGGAUUGCCUACCCACCUGACUUACCAUGAUACUAUCACGAAAUUGAUAACUAGACGUGAAAGUAACAAUAACGACGAAUCAAAUCAAAAUUAAUCCUAACUCACUUUAACAAUUUUUAACUCGCGCCCCGAAUUCCCUUUAAACCCAUGAUUAGUGCAUGCUUCGAUUUUCCAAUCACAUCUCAUAAUCCGAAACCAACAUCAAACACAACACAAACAACGAAGAUUUUCCACACCCACAACAUCAAUAAAGUAAAGAUCAGUAGAAGAAAUAGACCUUAAUGAAACUGAUCCUUGUCGAUAAUAAAGAAAUCCGAAGACCAAAAUACUCGAACGGAGAACCUCAAUCACGAAUCUUCCCGAAUCCAAACUCGGCAUGGAAAAUUGGAACAAGAAAUAAUAAUGCUCGAAGUAAGAUUAGCUCGGAAUUGCGUAAACAGACAGAAACAACUCAGAAUCUGAACGUCGACUAACCGGAUUUCGAACCAACAACGAAGAUAAGCCCGAACCUAUUUCGCACCUCCUAGCUACUGCUUCGACCGAUUUCCGGCUGACUUCGCCGGAUUCGAACCAACAACGACGAUAAGACAAGACGAAGCCCCCAACCCGAACGUCGACUAACCGGAUUUUGAACCAACAACGAAGAUAAGCCCGAACCUAUUUCGCACCUCCUAGCUACUGUUUCGACCGAUUUCCGGCUGACUUCGCCAGAUUCGAACCAACAACGACGACAAGACAAGACGAAGCCCCCAACCCGAACGUCGACUAAUCGGGUUUUCCCGGAACUGACUCAAUGGGGUCGAGUUUGGUUGAAAACAGAUGCGAAAUGUGAAAAACGGGUUCACAGAUCCUAGCUGGUGGAGCCGAUUCCAGUGGAAUUCGCCGAUAAAGAGAGAGGGGGUUCGGCCCUUUUCUUUGUAUGCUGAGGCCCGUUUCUUUUUUUGUUACUGUUAAUGCCCAAAAAAAAAAAAAACGUUUUCUCCAAAGUAUGUGUGUAAUCAUGUAUAUAUAUUGAAAUGGUGGGGUCCACGGGUAGGGGUAGGGUGUGGGGUGAUGAGGUGGUUUAUUUUGAUUGGAUAGGUUGUUAGGAUAAGAUACAAUUAGUUAGGAUAGAUUUUGUU